rnacentral:lncRNA from 1 species
CCAAGCCCCUCUGCCCCACCGGGAGAGGCGGGCGAGGGGCCCACUCCUGACCACAGGCGCAGGGGGAAGAGAGCCGGAGGAGAGCGCAGCCGGCCCCCGGGAGGCCCCGGGCUCGGAAGGAGCGCCUCCUGGGCCAGGCCCUCGGGCAGAGCAGGAAGGAGACCGACAGCGGGCUGUUCCUCGCCUCGGUACCACCAGGGAAGAGCCUUAAGGCGACACUGGAGCCUCCCGCGGAGCGAGGCCCGAAUCAGCACAAUCUGCCCCGCCCGGUCCCGGCGGGCGCCCUCUAGGGCCGGGAGAGAGACUGGCAGGCUCUUCUCGCUCGCGAGGGCCUUUGUUUGCGGACGUCCUGUCACCUUCCUCCCUGCCGCUCCUCUGAGGCGGCCUCAGACACAUCCGACCUUCCAAGUAGCACAGAGGCUCCCUCACGACCGAGCCCCCGCGGCCCUGGUGCCCGUCACCAGCGCACACGUCUCCCGGCGGAGGCCGCAGGCCCCACGAGCCCGGGGCCGGCCGAGGCGCUCCGCUCCCACCGCUCCCACCGUUCCGACCGGGCGGCGGGCGCUCGGCUCUCCGAGGGGCAGGCCCGGGCGCCGGAGGCCAAGCUGGCGCUCGGCGCUGCGUCCCGGGAGGCGCGGCCCCGGCCCCCGCGCCGGGACGCUCCUCCGCGGCGGGCCAGGCGCCGGGGCCACCGCGGGAGCCGGCGGGCUCGGCCGGGGGCGGGAGGAGCGCGGCGGGCCGCCGGGCCGGGGAAAGACAGGCGCAGGGCCCGCCUCCCCUCCUCGACCCCCGCGCCGUCCCCCGCAGGCCGCCGCCGCCGCCGCCCCCAGUAGCCCCUCGUGGAGCCCCAUGUGGAGCCCCGCGUGGGCCCCGCGGCUCCAGGCUAUGCUUUGGCACCCUCCGCUGCGUCUGGCAUGGCUGCUUGGCCCGCCGGCCCCAGGCCCUCGGCCGCAUGGCUGCGCGCUCCAGUUGCUAGUAGGAGCUGUUAGGGGAGGAGUUUGGGGUCUCCACACGAUGCCUAGAGAAUGCUGCAGUCUGCACAUUAGACGCUUUUUAGAAGUUUUGGAAUUACCCUGA